CGGAGCAGCGGCUCAGACUCGCACAAAAGAGGUGACGCAGUAAUGUAGGAAGGAAAGAACAGACGGAAGAUGUGAGGAGGAAGAACACUGCGAGACGACGAGAAGGGGACGGGAGGAAAGCAUUAUGGCUGGAAAUAGGAAUGGAGACAGAAUGGUGAUGAGAGCUGUGAUUGAUCAGCUUUUCCAGGAGGAAAUGAGAGGGCAUCUCUCAGAGGCCUGUUAAAACAGCCAGUUGUUCCAGGACAGCCUUUCACGUGACGGGCCAACCUACGUUGCAAACCCAAACGACGUAGAGGGCCGUCUCAUGUAACACAGCAGCCUACUCGAGUGAGAGGCUGGCAUCGUGAUUGCCUAGUGUUUUCCUGGCACGCUCGUCUGCGGCAAUCACCCCAUUCACCCUUAAGUCAACUCCCCCGUUGACUCCCAGCGUCGUCCGGUCUGCGUCCAGCACACGGGCCAAGUUCCUGCCGUGGCUCCCCAGAGGCGGUUCACUGAUCCUGGGUACAUGCUGGGCCUACAAGGCCGGCCGGGUCAACAGAGCGGUCUUUUAAUCUGGAUGGAUGUGGUUAGAGUAGGAUGGAGGUUUUCAGUGGAGGGACGCAGCAGAGGCCAGUCAGCCAAAGCAGCGAGAUAUCAUCACCGUUUCAUUGGAUACAGAUCGCUGAGUGCAACGCCCUUCAGUUAUCGCACUGGGAGCGGGUGAUGGAGCUCGCUGCCAAACUCCAGGCCACCUACUCUCUCCACACUGGGCCGCAGCACACCACCUUCCGUGCGCGGGCCGCUGCGACCUCCCGACCCCGCUGGGCCGCAGUGCACCUCCUUCUGCGCUGGGCUGCAGCAACCUCCUGAUCCAGCUCCACGACUCCUGCCCCCGGCGCCACUGUGCCCAGAUUCCCGUGUCCCGCAGCCGGCGCCUCCGGCUUCCCGUGUUCUGCAGCCGGCGCCUCCGGCUUCCCGUGUUCUGCAGCCGGCGCCCUCGGCUUCCCGUGUCCUGCAGCCGGCGACUCCGGCAAACUGACCGACCUCCGGGCCGACCCCCAUAGGCUCCCCGGCCAACUGGCCGUUCGCCGGGCCGCCCGCCGGAGUUCCCUGGAUGGCCCGACCCUCGUCUCCUGGUCCCCUCCCUCCCGCCCCUUGUCUGCUCUCUACUGGUUCCGCCUGCCCUUUAGCACCAUCUGGAAUUUGGCCCAUGAGGGGGGGGGGUUCUGUCACAAUUUGGGUUCAGGCAUUUUUUUUUGUAGUUUCAUGCCUCUGGUGCCCCUGGGUUAACUUCACUUCCUGCCUUGUCCUGUCAUCCCCUGUGAUUGUCUGUCGUGUCAUGAUUGUUUCCACCUGUGUCCAAUCACCUGCACCUUCCCGGUGUAUUUAAGCCAUGUGUGUCUCUUGUCACUUGUCGCGUCAUUGUUGAAUGUUCAAGCCUGAGUGUUCCUAGUUCCCGGCUGUGUUUUUGCCCCCCUUGGAAUAAUGAGUUGGAAUUUUGACUAUUAAAGUCUUUUGUUUGAACUCUGCGUUUGAGUCCUGCCUCUGCCGACACCCGUUCGUGACACAAAAGAAUGAC
ensembl:lncRNA